GCAGAGAGAGGGGGAGAGAGAGAGAGAGGAGUAUAAAUUUUGGUCUGUUUCUCACUUUGGAAGAGACGAGCUUUUGCUUUCUUUCUCUCUUUUCUUUCUUUCUUUCUUUCUUCCUCCAUUCACACUCACUUUAUUAUUAAGUUGUUUGGCCUCCAAGUGGAAUGGGUCUUUAUUAACCUACAUACUUACUUUUUUGUUGUUGUACUACGCAAUUAGUAGAGUUUAGAAUCGCCAUGUUCUUCACUGCAAUUCUUCCCAUCUUUUCUUUCCGCAACCUGGUUUCACUGCUUUAACCUGUUCUCUUUAACUAAUCAGUACCAGUACCAUUUCCCUGCUUUAAUCCUUUUUUUUAUGCGUUCUUUUUGGGAGUUGUGAAAUUGGGCUUUGGUAGUUUGUUAUUUAUUUUGGGAUUUUGUACUUUUUUCUUAGAGGGAUUUGGGUUUUUUUUGUAAAGAUUUGGGUUAUUUAGAGGGUGCAAGGACGUCUUCUGUAAAAUUUCUCUGUCAGAGGAAGCAAAAGGAACAGCAAAGAGAGAAAGGAUAUGGCUGGAGGCGGAGGAGCCGCACCACCACCAAAACAGGAAGAGCUGCAGCCACAUCCUGCUAAGGAUCAGCUUCCAAAUAUUGCUUACUGCAUUACCAGCCCUCCUCCUUGGCCUGAGGCAAUUCUACUUGGCUUCCAACACUACUUGGUGAUGCUUGGGACAACAGUGUUUAUACCCACUGCUCUUGUUCCUCAGAUGGGGGGAAGAAAUGAGGAAAAAGCGAAGAUGAUUCAAACAUUGCUAUUUGUGGCUGGAUUAAAUACAUUUUUCCAAACAUUUUUUGGUACUCGCCUGCCUGCAGUUAUUGGAGGUUCCUUUAGCUAUUUGCCUGCUACCAUUUCAAUCGUUUUGGCUGGUCGAUAUAGUGAAAUUUUGGAUCCUGUCGAGAGAUUUGAAAAGACAAUGCGUGGAAUUCAAGGUGCGCUCAUUGUUGCCUCAACUCUCCAGAUUGUCGUGGGCUUCAGUGGCCUUUGGAGAAAUGUUGCAAGGCUCUUGAGUCCAUUAUCUGCCGUUCCUUUGGUUGCUCUAUCUGGAUUUGGCCUCUAUGAAUUUGGUUUCCCUCUAGUUGCAAAAUGUGUGGAGAUUGGACUGCCACAGAUCAUCUUUCUUUUAAUUUUCUCGCAGUAUAUACCCCAUUGGAUACGAGGGGAGAUGGCUGUGUUUAAUCGGUUUGCUGUUAUAUUCUCUGUGGUCAUUGUGUGGGUUUAUGCUCACCUCCUUACCGUAAGUGGGGCAUAUAAGAAUGCAGCACACCAAACCCAAACAAGCUGCCGAACUGACCGUGCAGGAAUUAUAGGUGCUGCUCCUUGGAUAAGAGUUCCAUACCCUUUCCAAUGGGGAGCUCCUACUUUUGAUGCUGGAGAGGCUUUUGCAAUGAUGGCUACUUCAUUUGUUGCACUAGUAGAGUCCACUGGUGCCUUCAUUGCUGUAUCUAGGUAUGCGAGUGCAACUCCACUUCCACCUUCUAUACUUAGCCGUGGUGUUGGUUGGCAGGGAGUCGGAAUUCUCUUUUCAGGCAUAUUUGGAACUGGGAGUGGAUCAUCAGUAUCUGUUGAAAAUGCUGGAUUGUUGGCACUGACACGUGUUGGCAGUCGAAGGGUUGUUCAAAUAUCAGCAGGGUUCAUGAUCUUCUUUUCCAUUCUUGGAAAAUUUGGAGCUGUUUUUGCUUCAAUUCCAUCUCCAAUUAUUGCAGCUUUAUAUUGCCUUUUCUUUGCAUACGUUGGUUCAGCAGGUCUCUCUUUCCUGCAGUUUUGCAACCUAAACAGCUUCAAAACGAAGUUUAUACUUGGGUUCUCUGUUUUCAUGGGCUUGUCGAUACCACAAUACUUCAAUGAGUACACAGCAAUUAAAGGUUAUGGGCCCGUUCACACUGGCGCAAGAUGGUUCAAUGACAUGAUCAAUGUGCCAUUCUCAUCGGAACCUUUUGUUGCCGGCUUCUUAGCAAUGUUCUUGGACGUCACGUUGCAUAAAAAAGACACGGCAACUAGGAAGGAUAGAGGGAUGCACUGGUGGGACAGGUUCCGGUCGUUCAAGACAGACACAAGAAGUGAAGAAUUCUAUUCCUUGCCUUUCAACCUGAACAAGUUCUUCCCAUCAGUGUGAUCUUCCAACAUCUAAUUUUGAACUUAUUGUGGCUCUCUUGCCCCUAAUAUACAUGUCUUUUCGGGCACUACACAGCAACAAGAACCUUUUUCCCUCAUUUCAGAUCAACAUAACAAGUAAACUUUAGUGGUAUAAAUGCAAAAGGGGUUGAGAGAUGGUAUUUUGCAUGGUGCUCGGCAAGACAAGAAAAUCAGGACAGAAGGCCCACUGAACGACGAGUCAAAGAUGUUUUCUGCUUUAGGACUUGGGAGGAGGAGGUUCUUCUUCUUCUCUUCUUUUUUAGGUUUCCCUCCUUUUUCCACUUUUGCUGCAUCUGGGCCAGACGGCGUGCUAACCCGCAUACGGACAAAGUGAGCGGCCCAUUCUAGAACCUUGGCCCACUUCUCUUGCUCAUUUUUUCCCCUUCUUAUAUAUUUCAUUUCUAUUUUCUUUUGGGAAAUAAUUCUAGUUCAUGUAUACAAUUUCAUAUCUUCUCUUCUCUUCACUCU